AACGUUAGCUAUCAGUACCUAGCUAACGUUAAUAUUAUUAGUGGUCUUCGACAUCUUGUGGAAUAACUACCAUAUCCAAGCAAGAGCAAGUGUUUGGGAGAGAACAGAGAGACCAAGGACUGGAUGUGUAGAGGACAACCAUGUUGAAGAUGGAGAGGAUGAAAAGAUGGAUAGCUACCAUGACCACGACUACUGUGCAGUGCCUGGGCCCGCUGCAGUUGACCUGGUUUUGAUUGAGAGGGAAGAGACUGAGGACCUACGGAACAAAGUAGAGGAGUUGACUGUGAAAAGUCGUUUUGGGCUUCAGCGAUUUGUAUAAUCAAAUGCACAGAUCUAGUCCUUCACAAGAUUUGCCUCGUAUGACCAUCUGAUGGCCUUUUUGUCUCUCAUCAAGCCAUCAACUGUGUCACACGAGCAAGGAAAACCAAGCUGAGGAAUGAGGUGACACUUCCAUAUCCCUACUCAAGACAUGCCCUACCCAUGCUGGAUGAGCUGUUCCUCUUCCUCAUGUACUUGUCCUUGGGGUCAACUGAGAUGGACCUCGCUGACCGAUUUGACAUUCAUCACUCGACAGUCAGCAGGAUCGUUGUCACAUGGGCCAACUACCUUUACAUUCUGCUGGGGUAUGUCUCUAUAUGGAUGUUUUUGGAAUGUGUCAAGGCUGUGUUGCCAAGGAGUUCAGUAAGUAUCCAGACACCCAAGUCAUCAUUGACCGUACCGAGUUGAGAUGACAGCAGCCAGUCUCCCUCUACACAGUGAGAUGUACUCUCAUUACAAGUCCCACUGACCUUGAAAGGCCUGCUUGGGAUGGCCCCACACGGAGCAGUUCCUUUUGUGUCAGAAUUGUAUGCUGGCUCCAUUAGUCACAGAGCUAUUCAAACAAUCAGGACUGUUUGUCUUUCUCACUGAAGACAUGGCAGUGAUGGCAGACAUGGGGUUCUUGAUUGAUAACGGUGUGCCAGGCAAGGUCUACCAUCCACCCUUUGUCUAAACAGAGCCAAAUGCCAGCAGCACACGUCCAUCAAAGGCAAGAGAUUGCCCAUCUUAGAUUCCACAUUGAGACAUUAAUUGGCAGAAUGAAUCUGAACAAGAUGUUUCAGUCAGAGAUCCCCAUGUCACUGAUGGGAAGCAUCACAUGCAUCUGGGCUGUGGAUUGCUUUCUCACAAACUACUAGUGUGGGCCUCUUGUUGAAUGCAUGGGUCAAGAAGCAAUGAGCUACUACUUCAAUGCAUCUUUCCUUUUUUUGCUGUGACCAUCCAUAUUGCCUAACACCCUGUAGUCCAUUUGUUGAGUUUUUAUUUACAGUGACAAGAGAACAGGAUGUAUGUUGAAGCCACAGGAUGAGAAGUUGACAUAUUGUAUCUUGCAGUAGUCGCUGGCUGCUUCCAUCUCCAGCCCCAUCUUCAUGUCAGCUGUUGGUGCUGUGCCUUUGACCACCUGAAAUUAAAUAA